ensembl:lncRNA
GGUAGGAUUAAACAAGACUUUAUUACUUCUCCUUGUGUGGCAAACAUAGCAAAGGAUUCUUAGCAGCAGUUUCUAAUAUUAGAAAGACAUUCAUGUAUAGUUGGGAAGGAGCAAAACAAAACAAUUGUUUUUCGCAAGUCUCCGUCACUACCACGGCAAUCCACUGGGCCGGAGAGUGAGUUGCACAGGGGACGACAAGCUGCUUAUUGGGGCAGUGGCUCUGUUUGCAUCCACAGGGUUUUAUGCAAGCGACCUCUUUGGUUUUGAUCCAUGGGAUUUGCACCACUUGAGGCUGAGAGGGCGGGUUCCUUUGAACCCCCCAAAAAGCAAAGUGGCACUCUAGCUAACUUGAUGAGUUUCAUCUGGCUUCCAAACUGGGGCGGGGUUGCUUGAAGCAGGACGGAGUUUGCAACUAAAAAGCAAACCCAGGUGCUUUCUUGCAUGAUAAGCAGGAUCAGUGAGUCCAAAAGAACCACCCUAUUUCAUCCUUACGCUAGGAAACACCUGUUAUUCCAAGAGGGUCAUUCCAUGCUUAAAAGCUUUGGGGCUUUUUAAAACUCACUGGUUUUUAAGAGGUACAAAGCCAGGUCAUCUCCUAUCCCGGAUUCCACCCUAUAUAGGUGGAAAAGAAUGGGAUAAAAUGAGGGAAACUACACCAGUGCACCAGGAAGUUGGUAGGGCUGGGACAGCAGGGGCUACGGAGCUAACGCCGCAGUUUUGCUUUAAGUCGAACAAGGAACGAGGGGUGGAACAAGCCGUGAAGCAGGCAGAGGUAGGGUGUAGAUUCUGUUGCGAGCACUUGAGAGAGAGCUGCUAGGAAGGGAGUGAAGACCUGGCGAGGAUAGCUGAGAGGCAGGUAAGAGCUCAGAGGACAGAUACCCAAGUCACUCGGCACUAAGGGUACGUCUACACUGCAAUUACAAACCAGUGGUUGGUGACUCAGCUCACGAGGUUCGGGGUAAGAGACUGUUUAAUUGGGUCCAGGCCAAACCCAAAAGUCUACACCACGAUUAAACAGGCCCUAAGCCUGGAUCUUGGCCAAGAUCCAGCAGUAGCAUGGCCUAGUACAUCAUCUCUGGACAGGCCACCCCUGGGUAUGUAACUGCAGUGUAGACAUACGCUAAGGGACUUGUCUACAUGACCCCACAGUGCAGACUGCAGGGUGCGAACUGCAGCCCACACUAAAGUUUUGUGCUGUAAGUAGACCCUGCUAGCACGAAGUAAAAGGUACCUAGUUCAUAGCAAUGUAGUCUCAUUUAAAGCAGCCCUACGCUAUCUCUUAGUUCAUGCUAGCAAGAUCUACGUGGGGUAAUUACAGCACUAAACUUUAGUGUGUGCUACAAUUCACAGCUCUGUAGGCCGUACUGUGUAGACAAGCACUAAAAUGCAGAAUCAGGGGAAGAGAAUUUAUUCUCACCGGCAGCGUUAUGCAAACUUACCUCACAAACCUAUAUAAAAUAGAGUAGCUCCAGCUAUCAAUCACAUGAAUGUUUGAAUUUACUGGAUAAAUUACUGAUUUAUUUUAAUAUGCAAAACCUUGUUGCUAUUGUGCCUACUGGUACACAUGAAUCUUGUCUAAUAUUACUUUUGUUACAUAGCGAUAAAAGGUAAAUAAGUAUUUGAAAUGUGUUUCUUUGAAUCAAAUACUUCAUCUAACACAGUGGACUCCUUCAAGCUUACACAGUUAGAACCAAAAAGUGCUAGUAGAAUCAGUCAUUAACAAACCUUUGCUUCAAGAGUUACCUUUUAAAAUGCAUCCAAGUCUGUGUAACUAAGUUAUGGCAACAGCUUAUCUGUCUCAUGAUUCAGCAUUUGCA